UCCGUAGGUGAACCUGCGGAAGGAUCAUUAAUAAAUGCUUCAUUGCAUCCACCUUUUGGGCACCGUAAAUUUUCACUUAAACUUUGUCUGAUUUAUAUCUGUUCUGAAAGGAACAUGAAUUGUAAUCUAAUACAACUUUUAACAAUGGAUCUCUUGGCUCUCGCAUCGAUGAAGAACGCAGCGAAAUGCGAUAAGUAAUGUGAAAUGCAGAAUUCAGUGAAUCAUCGAAUCUUUGAACGCAUAUUGCGCUCUCCGGCAUUCCGGAGAGCAUGCCUGUUUGAGUCUUGGUACCAAUCUGGUGUAACCUUUGUAUUAAGGAUAGAACUUUUUAUAAAAAACUGCAUUGAGACGUCUUGAUAAGUAAAAUUGUUAAGUGUCUUAAAAUACAAUAGUACAGCUAUAGCUCACCCUCUUUGGAGUAAUAUGUGACCUGAAAGGGUAACUCUAUUUCUCCUCGUUGGGAAGACUUGUUGCUGGAAGUUUUUGAUUGCUGAACGUCAAAGGCGGCAUUCAAUUGUUCGAGUAACGACGAACUUAAAAAUUCAAGCUCAAAUCAGGUAGGAUUACCCGCUGAACUUAAGCAUAUCAAUAAGCGGAGGA
rnacentral:rRNA from 1 species